rnacentral:lncRNA from 1 species
GGGCCAGGCGCCCCGCAGCCUGAUCCCUCGGCUGAGGCGGGGUCAGAGGGCUAAGGGUGACUGACUGCCCAGUGCAUGGAUCUCAGCAGCACGGCUUGACUUUCGGGCGGCAGGCAAGGAUGCUAAUCCACAAGGUUCCUGAGUCCAACAUCCCUCCCUCCAAUGUGGGGCUCGAAUCCGCUAUUGCAACCAAACCCGGGUUCUGCCCGCAGGGUGGCGCAAUGACAAGAGCCACCAGGUGACCCUGGUAACUCCCGCACCUAGACCUACAGGAGCAGUUUUUCUGCAGCACCACAUCUGUAGCCCUGCAUGCCGCUGGCUCCAGUGUUGUGUGUGUGGUCAUGCUCCAUCCAGCCCAGCAGCAACUUUGGUGUUUGACACCCCUCGGGAGGCACCGCUUUGGAAGAGACUGGUAACAGCAGGGUGUGUGCGGAGCCCAAGAUGUGUUGGGAACAGCUAUCGUUUCUACUGCUUUGUCCCAUGCCUCUGGAGCUCCUGGGUUCCUGAACUUCAAGCUGGGCCCCAUCCUUCACCCUAUCAGGGCCCUGGGUGGAGCUGACUUCCAACAGUAUACAGUGGGUCUUGGUACUUCCUCCUUGGCAUUCGACAGUUGGUGUUUUUGAAGUCAGAGCCAUCCUCAGUAGGCUCCUAGGGGAUCGUAAGCGGCUUUCUCUGGGUGGAAACCUACUCCAUGCAGCCUUCAGCAAAGGAUCCUACGGCUGUUGAUCCCCUCGGAAGUGAGACAUAAUGUCCCGGAGCAGAUGCUGAUGGGGACUCACUGUUGGGCCACCUGAUUUCUGUGUUCAUCUUCCCAGGCUCCACCUUUCAGAUCCCAUCCCUGGUGUCUGCAGUUACAACUUUACUAACCAGAACUUUGUUUCCAGCUUACGCUGAAAAGCAAAGGGUGACUUAGAAUAAAAAUGUAACAAAUAGCCCCAUAGCCCAAACCUUUUCUGCCAUGAUUUACUGUACCAGAUACCUAUAAGUGUCCAGGGCAAAUUAAACACAUCAAUAAAUGGCUUUCUUGUGUCUGUCCUG